AGAGUUUGAUCCUGGCACAGAACGAACGCUGGCGGCAGGCCUAACACAUGCAAGUCGAACGCUCGUAGCAAUACGAGAGUGGCAGACGGGUGCGGAACACGUGGGAACAUACCCUUUGGUUUGGAAUAACUCAGGGAAACUUGAGCUAAUACCGGAUAAGCCCGUAAGGGGAAAGAUUUAUCGCCGAAGGAUUGGCCCGCGUCCGAUUAGCUAGUUGGUGAGGUAAUGGCUCACCAAGGCGACGAUCGGUAGCUGGUCUGAGAGGAUGAUCAGCCACAUUGGGACUGAGACACGGCCCAAACUCCUACGGGAGGCAGCAGUGGGGAAUAUUGGACAAUGGGCGCAAGCCUGAUCCAGCCAUGCCGCGUGAGUGAUGACGGCCCUAGGGUUGUAAAGCUCUUUCACCCACGACGAUAAUGACGGUAGUGGGAGAAGAAGCCCCGGCUAACUUCGUGCCAGCAGCCGCGGUAAUACGAAGGGGGCUAGCGUUGUUCGGAUUUACUGGGCGUAAAGCGCGCGUAGGCGGAUCUUUAAGUCAGGGGUGAAAUGCCGGAGCUCAACUUCGGAACUGCCUUUGAUACUGGAGAUCUUGAGUUCGGGAGAGGUGAGUGGAACUGCGAGUGUAGAGGUGAAAUUCGUAGAUAUUCGCAAGAACACCAGUGGCGAAGGCGGCUCACUGGCCCGAUACUGACGCUGAGGCGCGAAAGCGUGGGGAGCAAACAGGAUUAGAUACCCUGGUAGUCCACGCCGUAAACGAUGGAUGCUAGCCGUUAGGCAGCUUGCUGCUUAGUGGCGCAGCUAACGCUUUAAGCAUCCCGC
rnacentral:rRNA from 1 species